UAAUUGAGAGUUUGAUCCUGGCUCAGGAUGAACGCUGGCGGCGUGCCUAACACAUGCAAGUCGAGCGAGAAAUAAAGGAAUGAAGCUUCGGUAGAUUUUCUUUAUGGAAAGCGGCGGACGGGUGAGUAACGCGUAGGCAACCUGCCCUGUACAGGGGGAUAGCCACCCGAAAAGGUGAUUAAUACCCCAUAACGCAAGAGAUACACAUGUAUCACUUGUCAAAGAUUUAUCGGUAUAGGAUGGGCCUGCGUCUGAUUAGCUAGUUGGUAGGGUAACGGCUUACCAAGGCAACGAUCAGUAGCCGACCUGAGAGGGUGAUCGGCCACAUUGGAACUGAGACACGGUCCAAACUCCUACGGGAGGCAGCAGUGGGGAAUAUUGCACAAUGGGCGCAAGCCUGAUGCAGCAACGCCGCGUGAAGGAUGAAGGCCUUCGGGUUGUAAACUUCUGUCCUAGGGGAAGAAACAAAUGACAUUACCCUUGGAGGAAGCCCCGGCUAACUACGUGCCAGCAGCCGCGGUAAUACGUAGGGGGCGAGCGUUAUCCGGAAUUAUUGGGCGUAAAGAGUGCGUAGGUGGCACCUUAAGCGCAGGGUUUAAGGCAAUGGCUCAACCAUUGUUCGCCUUGCGAACUGGGGUGCUUGAGUGCAGGAGGGGAAAGUGGAAUUCCUAGUGUAGCGGUGAAAUGCGUAGAUAUUAGGAGGAACACCAGUGGCGAAGGCGACUUUCUGGACUGUUACUGACACUGAGGCACGAAAGCGUGGGGAGCAAACAGGAUUAGAUACCCUGGUAGUCCACGCCGUAAACGAUGAGCACUAGGUGUCGGGGUCGCAAGACUUCGGUGCCGCAGUUAACGCAUUAAGUGCUCCGCCUGGGGAGUACGCACGCAAGUGUAAAACUCAAAGGAAUUGACGGGGACCCGCACAAGCAGCGGAGCAUGUGGUUUAAUUCGAAGCAACGCGAAGAACCUUACCAGGACUUGACAUCCUCUUGACAGAUCCUUAAUCGGAUCCUUCUUCGGACAAGAGAGACAGGUGGUGCAUGGUUGUCGUCAGCUCGUGUCGUGAGAUGUUGGGUUAAGUCCCGCAACGAGCGCAACCCUUGCCAUUAGUUGCCAUCAUUUAGUUGGGCACUCUAGUGGGACUGCCGGGGAAAACUCGGAGGAAGGUGGGGAUGACGUCAAAUCAUCAUGCCCCUUAUGUUCUGGGCUACACACGUGCUACAAUGGCCGGUACAACAGGCAGCGAACCCGUGAGGGGGAGCGAAUCCCAAAAGCCGGUCCCAGUUCGGACUGUAGGCUGCAACUCGCCUACACGAAGUUGGAGUUGCUAGUAAUCGCGGAUCAGAAUGCCGUGGUGAAUGCGUUCCCGGGUCUUGUACACACCGCCCGUCACACCAUGGAAGUUGGGGGUGCCCGAAGUCGGUUAGUUAAUCUAUCGCCUAAGGCAAAACCAAUGACUGGGGUGAAGUCGUAACAAGGUAGCCGUAUCGGAAGGUGCGGCUGGAUCACCUCCUUUCUA
rnacentral:rRNA from 1 species